UCGCAGUAAGCGUGGCUGGUGGAUGUGUGGUGGUGGCGGUAGUGAGAGAAAAAAAAUCUGGCCGACAACGCGAUUUUGUACUAUUUAUUAAAAAGUUAUGCUAUUUAAAUAUAUGUUGCAACUAUUUAGCAAAAAAAUUGUACAAUUUGACAGUUCAAUAUGCAUAUCAAAUUGUACAAUUUUUUGCUAAAUAGUACAACAUAUGUUAGAAUAGUAUAAUUUGUUAGGGGUUGGUUAGAUUUGUAGUUGAAUUCUAAUUGGAUGAGGAUUAAUAUUUAAAUCUGUUGGAGAUAAAUUAAGAUUUAAAUAUUAAUUAGAGUAGAAAACUAAUUGGAUUAGGAUUUGGGUAGCUUUUGAUGUAAGCUAUAAAUAUAGCAUACGUGCUAUUAUUGUGGUGGUAAUAGUAUAGAUUAGCCACACCCAUAUGGCAUGGCCAAGAUGGUCAUAAUUUUGAAUGCAUCUAAUGCAUGGGUGCAAAAGGACGUGAACAGCUUUUGUAGUCGUGAGCCAUUGGUAUACCAUGUGCACGGAUGUACAAGAUGAGAGAGAUGUCUUCUGAGACUAUAGAAGACCAAAGAAGGAUAGGAGAGAUUUAAAAAGAGAGCUCGAGGUUGUAGCUACUCUGUUACAAAAGAGGAGUCAGGUGUAAUCUUUCUUAUUUAGUGAAUCUUAUUUUAUCCGUAUUUUUUUUGUUUGGUUGUUUUCUCUCUUUUAUAAUUGUAUCAGUUUUUAUUGAGGAGACGAGUUUAUGGUAAAAAUCUGAUUCGACACUUCCGUUGCGGAAUCCCAACAAUCGGUAUCAGAUCAACAAUAGUCGGUAUCUGAGCGGGUUGCGGAUUCUCAAAAUCCGAUACCGGGACGAGUAUCGGAUUCCCAAUAAUUGAUAUCAGAGCCGAAGGUUAUCGAU
rnacentral:lncRNA from 1 species